UACAGAGGUCUCAAGCGUUGUUCGGAUUCAUUGGGCGUAAAGGGUGCGUAGGUGGCGCUGUAAGUCGGGUGUGAAAUUUCGGAGCUUAACUCCGAAACUGCAUUCGAUACUGCGGUGCUUGAGGACUGGAGAGGAGACUGGAAUUCAUGGUGUAGCAGUGAAAUGCGUAGAGAUCAUGAGGAAGACCAGUGGCGAAGGCGGGUCUCUGGACAGUUCCUGACACUGAGGCACGAAGGCCAGGGGAGCAAACGG
rnacentral:rRNA from 1 species